UGGGUAUGCUUUCUUUCAAUGCUAUUUCAGGUGGAAUCGUCGACAGAGCUAUUCAAGCAGAGGAUAAGAAACAUGGGGAUUUCAUGAGGCUUGAAAGAUUUCACUUUAUAUAGUGACGCUUGGAGAUAUCUUAUCCAAACAUAUUUCAAAGCCCAGGGUAUACAUUGGAUGCAUGAAGUCUGGCCCUGUCAUAUCUGACAAGGAUGUCAGGUACUACGAACCUGAGCACUGGAAAUUUGGUGAAGUGGGUAACAAAUAUUUUUGACAUGCCACUGGUCAAUUGUAUGCUAUUUCAAAAGACUUGGCAACCUACAUAUCAAUAAACAAGCAUGUUUUGCACAAGUACAUCAACGAGGAUGUUUCUUUGGGAGCUUGGUUGAUAGAGUUAGAUGUUGAGCAUAUUGAUGACCGCAGACUAUGCUGCGGCACUCCACCUGGUGAGUUUCUGUUACUCUGUUAUCAGAAUGAGUUCAGAUUGACAGUCUGUUUUACUUGAGUAUUUAUAUGGUACUUGAGAAUUCUAGAACUAACUAAGUUUAGAAGGUAGCAGGUCAGUUCAUUGUGAGUUAGUAUUUAUUCUUGUUCAUUUCAGGCUGAAAUUGGGAGACAGUCAGCAUCAGAUCGUCAAU